AACGCGAAGAACCUUACCAAGGUUUGACAUGGACCGAAAACUCAUGGAGACAUGGGGUCCUUCGGGGCGGUUCACAGGUGGUGCAUGGCUGUCGUCAGCUCGUGUCGUGAGAUGUUGGGUUAAGUCCCGCAACGAGCGCAACCCUCGUCCAAUGUUGCCAGCGGGUUAUGCCGGGGACUCAUUGGAGACUGCCGGGGUCAACUCGGAGGAAGGUGGGGAUGACGUCAAGUCAUCAUGCCCCUUAUGUCUUGGGCUGCAAACAUGCUACAAUGGCCGGUACAGAGGGCUGCGAACCUGUGAGGGUAAGCGAAUCCCGGAAAGCCGGUCUCAGUUCGGAUCGGGGUCUGCAACUCGGCCCCGUGAAGCCGGAGUCGCUAGUAAUCGCGGAUCAGCAACGCCGCGGUGAAUACGUUCCCGGGCCUUGUA
rnacentral:rRNA from 1 species